AUGAAAUCAAGCCCAUGUCAAGUCAUUUUCUACUCUGGAGAGAAAAGUGUAGGAAGAAGAGCUUCAGAUGUAAAAAGUUGCACUUAUUAUCUUCAAAUUUUGGACAAAUAUUGAGAAGUUGAAAAGUCAUAUUUAUAAUUUAGUAUAGGAGGGAUUUGUUGUUCACAUUUUAAUUUGUUAUUUUAAUUUAAGUAUCGAUUAUCUAUAUCUUUUAUCUGACACGUGGCAAGCAAUUAGUCAAUGUUGUUUGAAGAUUGUAAGCUUUUUUAAUUUAAUUCACAUUGGAUGACAUUUAACCCUGAGAUUUUAAACUCUUACAACAUUUGCUGUAAAAUAUGAUCCAA
rnacentral:lncRNA from 1 species